rnacentral:rRNA from 2 species
GGGUUGUGAGGUUAAGCGACUAAGCGUACACGGUGGAUGCCCUGGCAGUCAGAGGCGAUGAAGGACGUGCUAAUCUGCGAAAAGCGUCGGUAAGGUGAUAUGAACCGUUAUAGCCGGCGAUGUCCGAAUGGGGAAACCCAGUGCAAUUCGUUGCACUAUCGUUAACUGAAUACAUAGGUUAA